CUCCAGGAGCUGUUUCCAUUCUUUUCUUUUCCAGCAGAUUCAAGAGGCAAUUGUUGGAAUGUAAAAAGAGCACGGGACUUGGAGUCAAAUACUUAAGUCUACCAUCAAGUAGUUGUUAAGAAUUAAACAACAAUUUUUGUGUACCCAGUUAAAUGUGGGCUGCUUAGGAAUGAUGACUGUGUCUUAAUGAUCUCUGUAUUCCGAGUGACAUGUAGAAUCAUUGUGCCUGACACAUAGUAUGUACUCAGGAAAGAAAUGGAAAAUGUGGUUUUAGCAUUGAAGGCCGGGAGAGAGGGUCUAACAGACUACAAGCCCUGCCAGGAGCAGAGUAAGGGAAACAAAGGAGAAAAGUGUUUUUAGUCUGUGCCUGAAUGUAUUUACAUCUGUCUGUAGCCCAAAAGCCAAAAGCGUACAUAAGCUUGGCUUUUCUGUAGCUAUGUUUAUGGCUUUACAGCAGAUUUUAUGGAGCUGCAAUUACUUUGAUCAUGAGGGACUGAUGCUAGUGGAUUUGCUUCACCAAAUGGAACUCACUUUGUGGCUUCUGAAGAAGGGACCUUUGUGGACUGUCAUGGAGUAGUUAAGAGUGCAGGCUCUGAUUUAGUGAUCAGAGUCUGCAUUGUCAGGAAUGGGACAAAGUGAAGUUAUGUGGCACUUGAUAGGAUGCCCUGAGAAGAUUGCAACAUCACCCCUGUGAUAUUCCUGCUGAAGAUCCAUAACCUGGAUGUAAUCAUGAGGAUAUAUCAGACAAACCCACGUAAAGAGACAUGCUGUAUACAAAACUGUAAUCUUAGAAAGUGCCAAGGUCAUGAAAAUCAAAGAUAGACCCUGGAACUGUUCCAAACUGGAGGGGACCAAAGAGGCAUGACAACUAAACACAACACAUGAUUCUGAACUGGAUCUUUUUGCUUGAAAGGAAGUUACAGGGACAGUUGGAAAAGUUUAAAUGGGGCCUAUGAUGCCAUGGUAAUGAUGUGUCCGUGUUAAUUUCCUGAUUUUCAUGGUUGCCUGUAAGUUACAUCAGAGGAUGUUCUUGUUUGUUGGAAAGUAAAUCAAUGUAUUUGGCAGGGGAUAAGGCAUCAA
rnacentral:lncRNA from 1 species